rnacentral:misc_RNA from 1 species
AAAGUCGUAACAAGGUCUCCGUAGGUGAACCUGCGGAGGGAUCAUUCACAUGAUUACUUUUAUAACAAACUGUGAACUUUAUUUAUACUAUUCGUGUUUUUUUUUCAGUUCACUCUGAUUUAAAAAACAUUGUCAUUCGAUUGAACAUAAGAUAGUUGGCUUGAUUAAUUUAUUUUAAUCUUUCUCAGCUUUGAUUUUGAUAUUACUAAACAUUUUAUCAUAUCAACCAUAAACAUAGAAACAACUCUAUGCCCUGGAUAUCUUGGUUCUC